AGAGUUUGAUCCUGGCUCAGGAUGAACGCUGGCGGCGUGCUUAACACAUGCAAGUCGAACGAAGCACUUUGGACAGAUUCUUCGGAUGAAGUCCUUAGUGACUGAGUGGCGGACGGGUGAGUAACGCGUGGGUAACCUGCCUCAUACAGGGGGAUAACAGUUAGAAAUGACUGCUAAUACCGCAUAAGCGCACAGUACCGCAUGGUACAGUGUGAAAAACUCCGGUGGUGUGAGAUGGAUCCGCGUCUGAUUAGCCAGUUGGCGGGGUAACGGCCCACCAAAGCGACGAUCAGUAGCCGACCUGAGAGGGUGACCGGCCACAUUGGGACUGAGACACGGCCCAAACUCCUACGGGAGGCAGCAGUGGGGAAUAUUGCACAAUGGGGGAAACCCUGAUGCAGCGACGCCGCGUGGAGGAAGAAGGUCUUCGGAUUGUAAACUCCUGUUGUUGAGGAAGAUAAUGACGGUACUCAACAAGGAAGUGACGGCUAACUACGUGCCAGCAGCCGCGGUAAAACGUAGGUCACAAGCGUUGUCCGGAAUUACUGGGUGUAAAGGGAGCGCAGGCGGGAAGACAAGUUGGAAGUGAAAUCCAUGGGCUCAACCCAUGAACUGCUUUCAAAACUGUUUUUCUUGAGUAGUGCAGAGGUAGGCGGAAUUCCCGGUGUAGCGGUGGAAUGCGUAGAUAUCGGGAGGAACACCAGUGGCGAAGGCGGCCUACUGGGCACCAACUGACGCUGAGGCUCGAAAGUGUGGGUAGCAAACAGGAUUAGAUACCCUGGUAGUCCACACCGUAAACGAUGAUUACUAGGUGUUGGAGGAUUGACCCCUUCAGUGCCGCAGUUAACACAAUAAGUAAUCCACCUGGGGAGUACGACCGCAAGGUUGAAACUCAAAGGAAUUGACGGGGGCCCGCACAAGCAGUGGAGUAUGUGGUUUAAUUCGACGCAACGCGAAGAACCUUACCAAGUCUUGACAUCCCUUGACAGACAUAGAAAUAUGUAUUCUCUUCGGAGCAAGGAGACAG
rnacentral:rRNA from 1 species